rnacentral:lncRNA from 10 species
CUCUGCCUCCCAAAGUGCUGAGAUUACAGGAGUGAACCAGCACACCUUGCCUCACUGUGGUUUUAAUUUGUAUUUCUAUAUAGUGUUUUGAUACAUUUUGAAAAAGUAGUCAAUAUUGAAAUACUUAAAGAUUUUACAUAGAAACCUUGAAUUCCAGCUUAUCUUGAAAAACCAGAAGGUAUGAUAAUAUAUAUUUCUACCUUUCAGCCAUGAAGCUGAGGAUUGGUAGCCCUUUUAGAGGAACACGUGCUUCCAGACCAGGUUGGAGUGCAGCAGCAUGGUCCCGGCUCACUGCAGUCUUAACCUUCCCUGGCUCAAGUGAUUCUCCUGCUUCAGGUUCCCGAGUAGCUAGGACUACAGGUA